UAUUAUACCAUAUGUAAAUGUUGUGCCUGAGUAGUAUUAGUUAGGGUCUUGAAACUCAAAGAAUUUGGCGGUAUUUUAGUCUUUUCAGAGGAAUCUGUCCUGUAAUUGAUAGUACACGAUUUGGGGUUACUUUCUUUUGUGGUUCAAUUUGUAUACCGCCGUCAUAAGAUUAUCUUAAGGAGAGAGGGAAUUUUCUCAAUUCAGAAAUGUGAUGUAUGUCAGGUCAAGGUGCAGUUUAUGGGAAAGAGGGAGAUGGAUUACAAUAAUAUAUAGUUAUACGGAUUUGCUGGUUAAGAAGGUUUAGAAGGUGGAUUUGAUUGUAAGUUUAUUAUUAGGAUGUUGAACUGAUUAUAGCUCUAGAGUGUGUACACAUCGCCCGUCGCUCUCGUAAGUAGAUGAG
rnacentral:rRNA from 1 species